CACGGAGCUCGGCCUGGUGGGGCGCGGGCGGCGGGAGGGGCGCGCGCGGGGAGACGGCGGGCGGCGCUCCAACCCCCGGGCCGCGGUGCCCCUCACGUCACCGCUGCUUCCAGCCCGCACUUCACGGGAGCGCGGCUGUCUGCGCCUGGGAGCGCCGACCUGUCGCAGCUUUUCUUUUCCGCACCUGGACUCGGAGGGAUGGAUCUCCCACCGCGGAGGGGGCAGGUCUCGCUCCCCGCAAACGGCGCGCGUACCCGGGAGGAACAGUACUAGUUUUUUUUUUUUUUUUUCCUCUGCGAGUCUGCAAUUAACAUCUUACUUGUUCUGGCUGAUACGGCGACCGAGGUUGGGCGUCUGCGUUGCUUUCUGCAUGGCGAUGGGAUCGUGCCUAUGGGGUCGAAACUUUUGUUUUCGUAAUGCAUCCAGUUCUUUUUCGAGUUUCCCUAGUAACAGUUUGGGCACGGGGGUGACAAGGAGGGAAGGACUGGAGGAGGAGAAGCGACCAGAUUCUCGAUUUAGCAGGGAAAGAGGGGUAAAUGUCUGCCACUCCCCACCUUGGUGUUCUUGCCUCCUGGACAGUUGGCUGACAAGUAUUUGA
rnacentral:lncRNA from 1 species